rnacentral:rRNA from 1 species
AUGUUAACUCAUGCAUGCCGACAGCCGCCACCAUGCUCCAGCUGCCUCAGGCUUCAGGGUGAUGAAUUAGUCAAGCUAUUAAAUGGCAGCGACGUUCCUCACACACGCUUCCAAUGCAGAAUUGCUGGCAGGGCCAUCAUCACCUAUGUCAUGAACUGCUACUACAAGCCCUCAAGAGGAGGAGGUGAAGAUGGAGCGCAAUGGUGGCGGUCUUGGCCUUGCUCUCACUAUUAUGGCUGCCAUCUGGCUUCUCUGCCGCAUCGUUGUUUUUGCCAGCAGCGGCGGCUCUUUGCUGUCGAUUGA